rnacentral:lncRNA from 1 species
UCAAUCAACCGCUAACUACUUCUACUCUUCUCCUCCACCUCCGGUUAAACACUACCAAUACAAAUCUCCACCUCCUCCUGUUAAGCAUUACUCUCCCCCUCCAGUUUACCAUUCUCCACCACCACCUAAAAAACACUACGAAUACAAAUCCCCUCCUCCUCCGGUCAAGCAUUAUUCUCCACCACCGGUUUAUCACUCUCCACCACCACCAAAAAAGCACUACGAGUACAAAUCCCCUCCUCCUCCGGUUAAGCACUACUCUCCACCACCGGUUUACCAUUCUCCACCACCACCAAAGAAGCACUAUGUGUACAAAUCCCCUCCUCCUCCGGUUAAACACUAUUCUCCUCCUCCUGUUUACCAUUCUCCACCACCACCCAAGAAGCACUAUGUGUACAAAUCUCCACCCCCACCUGUUAUGCACUACUCUCCCCCACCAGUCUACCAUUCACCACCACCACCCAAAAAACAUUACGUAUACAAAUCUCCUCCUCCUCCGGUUAAACACUACUCACCACCUCCAGUUUACCAUUCCCCACCCCCACCUAAAAAGCAUUAUGUCUACAAAUCUCCUCCACCACCGGUUAAACACUACUCUCCUCCCCCGGUUUACCACUCUCCACCACCACCAAAGAAACACUACGUGUACAAAUCACCUCCUCCUCCAGUUAAGCACUAUUCUCCACCUCCAGUUUACCACUCUCCACCACCACCAAAGAAACACUACGUGUACAAAUCCCCUCCUCCCCCGGUUAAGCACUACUCCCCUCCUCCAGUUUACCAUUCCCCACCCCCACCAAAGAAACACUACGUCUACAAAUCUCCUCCUCCUCCAGUGAAACACUACUCUCCCCCUCCGGUUUACCAUUCCCCACCACCACCAAAGAAACAUUACGUGUACAAAUCCCCUCCUCCUCCAGUUAAACACUAUUCCCCACCACCGGUUUACCAUUCUCCACCACCACCAAAGAAGCACUACGUCUACAAAUCCCCUCCUCCUCCGGUUAAGCACUACUCUCCUCCUCCGGUUUAUCAUUCCCCACCACCACCUAAGAAAAAGUACGUAUAUAAGUCACCUCCUCCUCCAGUCCACCACUACUCUCCCCCACACCAUCCUUACCUCUACAAAUCUCCUCCUCCUCCAUACCACUAUUAGAAUUCUCUGUCACGGUA